rnacentral:lncRNA from 1 species
AAUUGAUCAUAAAUAAUGCAUGCUUUGUCUUUAAACACCAAAGAAUAAUUCUUUUCUAAGAGAGUUGUCCUACACUAAGGAGAUUUUGGUCUAUUUUUGGUACAAAUAAAACAUCUGGAAUAAUUUUUGUACCCGACUAUGUCUCAACUGUCGCAUCUCUUCUUUCUUUGACUUCUAUGAACUCAUCAUUACCAAUUCUAACUUUGGAACAACAAGUUUUAACUAGAUCCUUGAAUAAGCUGAUGUUUGAUGCCAUAUGAUGAGUGCAUCCACAAUCAAUGAGUCAUGCACUCAAAGAUGUUUUUGUUGCAUAACAAGAACCAAAAAUUUGUUCAUCCUCUCGUUGUGGGGUAUUUGCUACUCUAGCUUGUUGAUCUUAUUGUUGUGGGUUUUUGUUCUUGCGAACUUUCUCCACAUGGCCAAGUUAUUUGCAAGACCAGCAUUAUAUAUUUGGUUUGUAUUGGUAAUAUUUACCUAAAUGAGUAGGUUUUUUUUUCUUUACAAUGUGAACAAGUUGGAAAUUUACUUUUCUUUCCAUUGUUUCUUCUAUCUCUUGAUUUUUUUUUUUGCCCUCAAGUUGCAUAUUUCCUUUUUCCUUUGACUACAAAUGCACCUUCUAUUGAAUCCUCUUACCUAAUAUCCCUCAUUUGCUCUUGAGCCUCGAGAGCGUUCAUUAGUUCUAGGAAAGAAAUCUUACUCAAGCCUUUGGAGUCUUCAAGAGAAGAGAUUUUGGAUUCAAACCUCUCAAGUAAAUUGAGAAGAACUUUUUCUAAUAAUAUUUUAUUUGUCAUCUCCUCUCUAAGUAAUUUGAGCUUUUUCACUAUUUUCAUGACUCUUUCUUUGUACUCCUUUAGAAUUUCAAACUCUUUCAUCUUCUAAACUUCAAACUCCCUUUUGAAGCUAAGCACUUGCAUUUGUCUAGUCCUAUCACUACCUUGGAACUCCUCAUUGAACAUGACCUUAGUUUUCUUUACAGUCUCACGUGUCAUGGUUCUAAUGAAAAUUUUAUCGAUAACGGAUGACUCAGUACAACUUUUGGCUUUGUAUCUCUUUUCCUUCUCUUCACUAUGAUUCUUUAAUUAGGUCAUAAUUGGAUUGGUCUGAAGUUGGGGUGGUUCCUUGUUAUUUUCAAUCACAUCCCAAAUAUCAAAAGCACUCAAAUAUGUCUUCAUUUUGACAACCCAUAUCUGAUAGUUUUCAUUCGAAAAGAUAGGUGGUGGAGGCAAAAAGCAAUUAUUUGAAGCCAUAUGGUGUUAACAAAUGAUAGCUAGCUCUUAACACAACUCUUAAGCAUUUGUAAGCCCUUUAAGAUCAAAGAAAGCUCUUGAUACCAAAUUGUUGGAAGGAAGAAAAGGAACAAGGGAGAAGUUUUGAGAGAAAAACUUAAAGAAGAGAUUAAAGUAAGAACAAGUUUUUUUUUG